rnacentral:rRNA from 1 species
UACGUAGGGCGCAAGCGUUGUCCGGAAUUAUUGGGCGUAAAGAGCUCGUAGGCGGCUUGUCACGUCGGGUGUGAAAGCCCGGGGCUUAACCCCGGGUCUGCAUUCGAUACGGGCUAGCUAGAGUGUGGUAGGGGAGAUCGGAAUUCCUGGUGUAGCGGUGAAAUGCGCAGAUAUCAGGAGGAACACCGGUGGCGAAGGCGGAUCUCUGGGCCAUUACUGACGCUGAAGAGCGGAAGCGUGGGGAGCGAACAGG